AUCAAAUGGUAUGAGAUACCUGAUGAGUUGAUUUAUUUAAACCCCGAUUUAACAUUUUGUAUACAAGUAUUUAACGAUCAAGUUCAAGUUAUAAGACAAUGCGUCGAAAUAAGCAGUUGAUUUGUUGAUAUAUAAUUAUCUUGUACUAAGGGUUUUGAAGUUGGAAUUAAGUAAUUUAAAAGCUAUUUAUAGAUGAAUA
rnacentral:misc_RNA from 1 species